CCUACGGGAGGCAGCAGUGAGGAAUAUUGGUCAAUGGACGAGAGUCUGAACCAGCCAAGUAGCGUGAAGGAUGACUGCCCUAUGGGUUGUAAACUUCUUUUAUAUGGGAAUAAAAUGUUCCACGUGUGGGAUUUUGUAUGUACCAUAUGAAUAAGGAUCGGCUAACUCCGUGCCAGCAGCCGCGGUAAUACGGAGGGUCCGAGCGUUAUCCGGAUUUAUUGGGUUUAAAGGGAGCGUAGGUGGAUUGUUAAGUCAGUUGUGAAAGUUUGCGGCUCAACCGUAAAAUUGCAGUUGAAACUGGCAGGCUUGAGUACAGUAGAGGUGGGCGGAAUUCGUGGUGUAGCGGUGAAAUGCUUAGAUAUCACGAAGAACUCCGAUUGCGAAGGCAGCUCACUGGACUGCAACUGACACUGAGGCUCGAAAGUGUGGGUAUCAAACAGGAUUAGAUACCCCGGUAGUC
rnacentral:rRNA from 1 species